CAUUUGUAGAAUCUAUAUCAUAUCCAAGUAAAAUAGGUUUUGCAACUGAAAUAUCCCUUAUCAAAUUGUUAUUGAAUCAAAUCGUAAAUCGAAUCGGGAGCUUGUGAAUCGGAAUCAAAUCAAUUCAGGAAAUCAGUGACAAUACCCAGCCCUAGUAGAGGGUGUUGGGGUGAG